rnacentral:rRNA from 1 species
GGAAUGACUACAAUUUAAAUCCUUUAAGAAGGAUCCAUUGGAGGGCAAGUCUGGUGCCAGCAGCCGCGGUAAUUCCAGCUCCAAUAGCGUAUAUUAAAGUUGCUGCAGUUAAAAAGCUCGUAGUUGGAUCUCAGUUACGGGCAGGUGGUUCACUUUACAGUGCUACUACCUGAACCGAACCUAUUGCUGGAUCUCUUGGGUGCCCUUCACUGGGUGCCCCUUGAGACCAGACUGUUUACUUUGAGAAAAUUAGAGUGCUCAAAGCAGGCGAAUGCCUGAAUAGUUGUGCAUGGAAUAAUGAAAUAUGGCCUCGGUACUGUUUUGUUGGUUCACGGUGCUCGAGGUAAUGGUUGAAAGGGACUGACGGGGGCAUUCGUAUUGCGACGUUAGAGGUGAAAUUCUUAGAUCGUCGCAAGACGGACUACUGCGAAAGCAUUUGCCAAGAAUGUCUUCAUUAAUCAAGAACGAAAGUCAGAGGUUCGAAGGCGAUCAGAUACCGCCCUAGUUCUGACCUUAAACGAUGCUAACUGGCGAUCCAGUGGGGGUAUUUAAAAUGACCUGCUGGGCAGCUUCUGGGAAACCAAAGUUUUUGGGUUCCGGGGGAAGUAUGGUUGCAAAGCUGGAACUUAAAGGAAUUGACGGAAGGGCACCACCAGGAGUGGAGCCUGUGGCUUAAUUUGACUCAACACG